UGGGGAAUAUUGGGCAAUGGGCGAAAGCCUGACCCAGCAACGCCGCGUGAAGGAAGAAGGUCUUCGGAUUGUAAACUUCUUUUAUCAGGGACGAAGGGAGUGACGGUACCUGAUGAAUAAGCCACGGCUAACUACGUGCCAGCAGCCGCGGUAAUACGUAGGUGGCGAGCGUUAUCCGGAUUUACUGGGUGUAAAGGGCGCGUAGGCGGGAAUGCAAGUCAGAUGUGAAAUCUAUGGGCUUAACCCAUAAACUGCAUUUGAAACUGCAUUUCUUGAGUGUCGGAGAGGUAGACGGAAUUCCUAGUGUAGCGGUGAAAUGCGUAGAUAUUAGGAGGAACACCAGUGGCGAAGGCGGUCUACUGGACGAUAACUGACGCUGAGGCGCGAAAGCGUGGGGAGCAAACAGGAUUAGAUACCC
rnacentral:rRNA from 1 species